rnacentral:rRNA from 1 species
UUGACCUCAAAUCAGGCAGGACUACCCGCCGAACUUAAGCAUAUCAAUAAGCGGAGGAAAAGAAACUAACAAGGAUUCCCCUAGUAACUGCGAGUGAAGCGGGAAAAGCUCAAAUUUCGAAUCUGGCGGUCGUGCAGGCCGUCCGAGUUGUAAUCUAGAGAAGCGUCUUCCGCGCUGGCCCGUGUACAAGUCUCCUGGAAGGGAGCGUCAUAGAGGGUGAGAAUCCCGUCUUUGACACGGACCACCAGCGCCAUGUGAUGCGCUCUCGACGAGUCGAGUUGUUUGGGAAUGCAGCUCAAAACGGGUGGUAAAUUCCAUCUAAAGCUAAAUACGGGCGAGAGACCGAUAGCGAACAAGUACCGUGAGGGAAAGAUGAAAAGAACUUUGGAAAGAGAGUUAAACAGUACGUGAAAUUGCUGAAAGGGAAACGCUUCGCGUCAGUCGCGUCGGCCAGGGAUCAACCUCGCGAGCGAUCGCUGGGUGCACUUCCUGUCUGACGGGUCAGCAUCAGUUUCUGGAGUCGUACAAGGGCGAGGGGAACGUGGCACUCUCUGGAGUGUGUUAUAGCCUCUCGUCGCAUGCGUCCUCGGGGACUGAGGAUCUCGGCACGACCUUCGGGCCCG